rnacentral:piRNA from 1 species
UGGACAAUACAUUUCUGUUGAUAAUAUCAGA